AUGCACGCUGGCGGCGUGCCUCAUCCCUGCCAGUCGCGCGAACAGACGAGGAGCUUGCUCCUCUGACGUUCGCGGCGGACGGGUGAGUAACACGUGGAUAACCUACCUAUAAGACUGGGAUAACUUCGGGAAACCGGAGCUAAUACCGGAUAAUAUAUUGAACCGCAUGGUUCAAUAGUGAAAGACGGUUUUGCUGUCACUUAUAGAUGGAUCCGCGCCGCAUUAGCUAGUUGGUAAGGUAACGGCUUACCAAGGCAACGAUGCGUAGCCGACCUGAGAGGGUGAUCGGCCACACUGGAACUGAGACACGGUCCAGACUCCUACGGGAGGCAGCAGUAGGGAAUCUUCCGCAAUGGGCGAAAGCCUGACGGAGCAACGCCGCGUGAGUGAUGAAGGUCUUCGGAUCGUAAAACUCUGUUAUUAGGGAAGAACAAAUGUGUAAGUAACUAUGCACGUCUUGACGGUACCUAAUCAGAAAGCCACGGCUAACUACGUG
rnacentral:rRNA from 1 species